CCUACGGGUGGCAGCAGUGAGGAAUAUUGGUCAAUGGUCGGCAGACUGAACCAGCCAAGCCGCGUGAGGGACGAAUGCUCUGUGUAUUGUAAACCUCUUUUGUAAGGGAAGAAAUACUGCUACCUGUCUCAUGAUGCCCGUACCUUAUGCAUAAGCCUCGGCUAACUCGGUGCCAGCGGCCGCGGUAAUCCGGAGGAUGCGAGCGUUAUCCGGAUUUAUUGGGUUAAAAGGGUGCGUAGGCGGUUUGUUAAGCUUGUGCGAAAACCUCGGGGCUUAACCUUGAUUCGCCGUUGAUACUGUAAGACUCGAGUGCAGGCGAGGUAUGCGGAAUAAGUGGAGUAGCGGUGAAAUGCAUAGAUAUAACGUAGAACUCCGAUAGCGAAGGCAGCUUACCGGACUGAGACUGACGCUGAGGCACGAGAGCGUGGGUAGCGAACAGGAUUAGAUACCCGGGUAGUC
rnacentral:rRNA from 1 species